UGUAGGCAGGAUGGAGCCCCAGCCUGACUCCACCACCACCACGCCCAGGAUCUCCCCCUUGUGCUUCUCCAGCUGCAGCUGCAAGGAAAUCAGCAGUGAGAGAAACACCUCCUGGGUGCUGAGCUCCAGUAGAUGAUAAUAGCAGCAUUAAAAGGCACAUUUUCAAGGUCA